rnacentral:rRNA from 1 species
GAUGAACGCUGGCGGCGUGCCUAAUACAUGCAAGUCGAGCGAACAGACGAGGAGCUUGCUCCUCUGACGUUAGCGGCGGACGGGUGAGUAACACGUGGAUAACCUACCUAUAAGACUGGGAUAACUUCGGGAAACCGGAGCUAAUACCGGAUAAUAUAUUGAACCGCAUGGUUCAAUAGUGAAAGACGGUUUUGCUGUCACUUAUAGAUGGAUCCGCGCCGCAUUAGCUAGUUGGUAAGGUAACGGCUUACCAAGGCAACGAUGCGUAGCCGACCUGAGAGGGUGGUAGGCCACACUGGAACUGAGACACGGUCCAGACUCCUACGGGAGGCAGCAGUAGGGAAUCUUCCGCAAUGGGCGAAAGCUUGACGGAGCAACGCCGCGUGAGUGAUGAAGGUCUUCGGAUCGUAAAACUCUGUUAUUAGGGAAGAACAAAUGUGUAAGUAACUAUGCACGUCUUGACGGUACCUAAUCAGAAAGCCACGGCUAACUACGUG